CCCCUCUGAAGACAUCGAUGGUAAGAGAGGGAAGGGGGUGGUCAAAAAGGGGGGCUGCUUCCUCUCCAUCCCCACACCUCUUUUCCUCUCCUCACUCUACAGUUGUAUUGUGGUAAUCUCUGAGUGGUUAGACUCAAUUUAACCCUCUGUGGGGGAGAUUCCACCAAAAGUGUAGCAGAGUAGCAAAAGCAGACUUUCAAAAACAGCAGAUACUUACACGCGGUGAGCAAAGAGAAGCCUUUUUCUGUUAGGAUGGCUAUCAAUUGCAGAGGCUCAGUAAAAGUUCAAAAAACAUUUAUUCAGGUAAAAAGAAUUUCAUUGUAGAUAGAAAGGUUUGGGAGCUGUCUAGCUUUCUAGAGUAGUUUCUAAGGAAAAAUAACAAACAUCUAGAUAGUCACAUCUUGCCUAGAGGGACAGCAAGAUGCUGCUAUUAGCUUGAAGAACAAAGAGAGAAGAGACUGAACCAAAAUGGUUCCGACUUCAUGGUCCAGUUUAUUGGGGCCAUAAAACAUUCUGACUAAUGAGAAGUUAGUGUCCCUGAAGAUUCACAUUUCUACUAACAUCAAAGUAAGGGAUAUAAGGUAAACAGGAUAGAAAGAGGGGAAACACAGUAGAGCCUAUCUGGGCAUGCUUUGGAAACAGGGAAAGGAUUCCCUCAAUCUAGUCUUAUCAUCUAUCUGACUACAUCUAGACUUGAGUGGUCCAGGGUGAUUCCCAACUCCUAGUCUUCCUCCCCUGGGCUGUCUUCCCAUUCCUUCCCUUUUGGCCCCACACCCAUGAGGGAAGGGGGCAGCCCCUAUUUCACUCCUUUUCUCCAUUGUCUUUUACAGGACUCCGAAGCGGCAACGCUGGCUGACAUCCCCAGCCUGGAGGAUGAGGUGUGGGACCCUCUCCCCAGUACAAGCAGCUCCGUAGGACCCGGCGAAGAUGAAGAUCCUGCCCUGCACCCGAGGAGAUGGUCCUCCCUGGACCCAGAACAGGCAAAACAACACCUGCACCAUCUUUGCCUGCUGGUCUGCAGUUCCUCCUCUGCAGAGGUCACGCAGGCAGUGGAUUACGUGGCCCGAAAACAUCUAAAGAUGGCCACGGACCACUUUCUGGAGUCCGACGGGAGGGCAUGUGGUGAAUUAGUAAGCGCCGUACUCAAUUCACCAUAUUGUUGCCUGGAAGCGGCGCUGGACCUGUUCCUGGCCAAGGUGAAGGAGGGACCUUGGCUGGCCCAGGAGGGCAAGGAACAGGGCAGCCCUACUUUUGAUGCGGCCACGGUAAGGACCUCCCCACCUGCACUCUGUUUUUAGGGGGCUGGGGAAGGAGAACGGGGUCCCCUCUUUCUUGACCUUUCCUUGCAUUUGAGCCUCCUUCUUUCUCUCCGCAGGCAAGAGCGACGCGGGCCAUCGGCGGGAUCGUCAGACACAUCAGGGACAGCACGCGCCUGGAGGGGUGGUUCCUGGAGCUUCUGCUCGCCUUGGUGACCAACUUCAUCGAGGUGACAAGGCCUGGGUUGGAGGCACCCAGCAGGAACCGGAGCAACAGCUACGUUCCUCCAGAGUAAGGAGAGGGUGGGGAGGAAGGGUCUGCGGGACUCCCAGCCCUUUUGGGGGGCUGAAGGGGGACUCAGAUCCUUCACUAGUAAGUAAUCCUUUUUCUUUCUUUCUUUUUCAGAGAACUGGCGAAGAUCAUCAUCGUGCUGGUGAAGAGGGUGGCACCAAAGUCCUUCAACAGGACCUCCGAGUGGAUGCUAGAAGAUGACCCAAGCAUCUGCCCUGAGGGGAUAGCCCUCCAGUUGCGGUAAGGAACUAAGGGCUGAUGGAGGUUCAGGGAGGAAGCCCAGCUUGUUCUCUCUGGCUGGGUUCCCUCACAGGGGUCUUUCUUGUCUUCCAGGAGCCUCCUCAAGUCCUCCUCCUCCUCCCUACUCCAGCACCUGCAUUCCAUCUGGGAGAAAGAAGCGCCGCUGGAGCAUUCGGCCGGCGUGGUGGCCUUCUACGUCCAGGUGAGGAGGGUUGUUCAGCCAGGGUUAUGGGUUGGAAGGGGCCUUAGGGCAAGGCUGGGGAGACAAGGAGAGGAGAGGCAGUGCUUCCCUUCCUAGCUCCAGCCCUUCAUG
ensembl:lncRNA